AAAAUACAACCCUGCUGCAACAAGUCUUUACAAACUUAUGCAGGUUAAAUGAUGUACAAGCAGCUGACACUUACUAGUUGCCAUUUUUCAUCAAUGCCCUCCAUCUCCUCUGCUGAAAAGAGUGAGCCUAUUUCUGGAGUGCAUGAAAUGUUGUACUGAAAGCAUGUUGGCCCAGACGUCUCAGUGAAUUAUUAACAUGCCAUCAUGUCAGGUGCUCUUUGUCCUCUUUUUCUCUCACUCACUUCUGAUAAUUAGUUGAAACUCAGCAUUCAAGAAUACUGCCUUUGUUAAAUGCCUGUGGGAUGAGAAAGCUGGAUGAGAAGAUCACAGAAGUUCUUCCUGACUUUGGGGAGAUUGCUGUACAUAAAGCUUUAUUGAAGUAUUUUCCAUUGGGGAAGAGCUGAUAUAAAUUCAGGAAUACAAGUGGGCUUUGGCACAGUUGAAUGGAGAACUCAUAGCUGAGCAGCACUGAAAAUCAGUCUGAAGAGAAACCAGGAUGAAUAACAACUAGCUAAGGGCAUUUGGCUGAAAAGAAGGGCUUUCUGCUGACUGGUAUGUCUUCAGAGGCAUCCCUGCAAGCUGUGGAAGCUGAGGAGGUUGUGGAGCCUGUCUCUGCAUCAUGGGCUGUUGAAUGGACAUUCCCUGGGGGCUGAUGUGAUGAGGAGAAGGAGCUGGAGCAACAAACCUAGAAGUUCAAAACCACAAAGCUGUAAUAUCUCCAAUACAUAAGGGAUAAAGACUGUUUUUACUUUAUUUACACCACUUUAGUUAUUUGCAUAGAUACAGACUUCCGAAAUAACAGUGUGCAGCCCAAAUAAAGAUGACAUAUUUUUAAAUGGUGACAGACUUGACAUCUGGGAAAUUAGCAGGCUGAAUUGCCCCUUAUCAUGGAAAACUACUUUUGACACACUCCUUCUGUGCAUUUGUCUAAGUCAUAAUUGGAGGAGAUGCCUCAAGGGGGACCUCAUUUUGGAGGCCCUGCCAGCUGUUUAUUGUAAGGCUUUGUAUUAACUUUAUUUAUCAAUGAAUAGCUGCCCUUCCUCACUGACAGUGGAGAGAUCAGUUCAGGUCAUUGGUCACUGAAGAGUCAGGUGUUAGGUUCAGGCCCAGGUUUCAAGCUCUAGAAAUUUUUGUUUGUUACAUAGAGCUAUUUGAAAAUAAACAGCUUGAUGUCAAUAUAAUGCAGGUAAGGGCAAGUGUUUAAUUGCUUCCAGAAUCUGACCACAUCAAAAUGCUGAUCUGGACUCAAACUAUAAACUUUCCUGGCAGAAGAAAGAAUGCUUGAGAACAAAUCUGGUGGUGCAGCUGCCACAGAGGUUCAUCACCUCAGUGGUAUGUUUUGCACAGCUCUGUCACUACUGGCACUUCAAGGGUAUGAACUACUUUUUAAGAUUUUACACUAGAGUUUUAUGGAAUUUAACUUUUUACUGAUUUUCUUCUGCAUUUCCCUAAAAUUGCAUGUGUCAAAGUACAUCACAGAUAGGUCAUGCAAUCUUUUUUGCAGACAGAAAGCUGCGAUUUUAAGUACUUCUGUCUGGGCCCCAAACCACCCAAAAGACUGAUGGGAUCUGGCUAGUUAAUGAAAGCUCAGGAAUGUCUCUGGACCACCUUUUCAUCAAUGAGAGGAGAGCUGGAACAUUCACAACACCAAAAAAAGAACCAUGAUAUUUCUGCAAGAGGGUGAGUGGAAAGGGAUGUGGUAAUCCUGUUGCAGAUCAGCCUGUCUCUCCAUCACUAAAAUAUGCUGCAAGUCUGCUGAGGAGGAGGAAUAUUUUUCUCUGUGUGUUCACUGGCUGCUGCUAGAAGAGAUCAGUGCCUGCACUUAAUACAGUCUGCCUGUGCUCUAAAGUAUGAAUCCCUGUUGUCCUAAGACCGGGCCUCAAUAUACCAGAUGACUUGUUUUUAACCUAAUAAAAAGCCAUGUUUUUCCUGAA